ensembl:lncRNA
GAUAGAUAGACAGACACACAGACAGAUAGAUAGACAGACACACAGACAGAUAGAUAGAUAGAUAGAUAGACAGACAGAUAGAUAGAUAGAUAGAUAGAUAGAUAGAUAGAUAGACAGACAGACAGGUCCAUAGAUAGAUAGAUAGAUAGAUAGAUAGAUAGAUAGAUAGAUAGACAGACAGACAGAUAGAUAGAUAGAUAGAUAGAUAGACAGACAGAUAGAUAGAUAGAUAGAUAGAUAGAUAGAUAGAUAGAUAGAUAGAUAGACAGACAGACAGAUAGAUAGACAGAUAGAUAGAUAGACAGACAGAUAGAUAGAUAGAUAGAUAGAUAGAUAGAUAGAUAGAUAGACAUAUAGAUAGUCAUGUGAAAAAAAUUGGAUCACUUUAAUUUAAAUUGAUGCGCUUUGUAACAAUGUCUAUUAAUAAAGGUCAUACACUCUAUUAAAUGACACAUAAAAUUGACAUUUUGUAGUAACUUUCACAAUUUAAAUUAACAAAAAAAAAUACAAAUCGGUCACAUUGGAAAAAGUAAGUACACCCCUACAUUUAUCACACCUUCAAAUACCAUAUAAUUAGAGUCAUGUGUUGAAU